GAAGCCCAGGUUGGCUGCCUACAAUCAGAGUCCACAUAUGUUCGGGGGAGGGACCCCAGAAGGCGGCUGACAGUAUUCCUUUAGCCAGAAAUCCCUUCAGGGAAGAGAAAGUAUUUUCCAGAAAAUAUUUCAAGCAGAAUAUACUUAUUUUCCAGUUUUGAAAACAACUAGAUUGCCCAUCUCCAUUUCUCUCUAUCAUCUACUGUAUUAUUCUAUGGACAACUGCCACCCUAAUAAGCUCAAAGGAAACCAUGAGAGACUGUCUAACUAGACUUUUUGCUUGAUUUCCUGGACCCAAGAGCAGGAGUGAGGAGCUUUCUCCUGGUAAUUUUGUUAUAGAGCAAUCAAUGAGCUUGCUUCCUCAUGCACAUGGAGGCCAACACCAUGACAAAGGCUUUUGAGAAAAGAAAAGCUUUAUGGAGACCUGACUGGCAAGGAAACAGAAGAAAAUUCUCAUUUCUGUCUCUCUGAGCUGGGGUCUGGACCAGAUUUUAUAUGCAUAGGGUAAUGAGGCAUGAUCUGAUUGGAUAAUCGGGCAAGAUCUAGAACCCAAUCACAUAAAGC
rnacentral:lncRNA from 1 species